rnacentral:tRNA from 1 species
GGCUGUAGCUCAGUGGUAGAGCGCUUGCCUAGCAUGUGUGAGGCACUAGGUUCAAUCCUUAGCACCA